UACGUGAGGGGCAAGCGUUGUCCGGAAUUAUUGGGCGUAAAGAGCGUGUAGGCGGCCAGAUAAGUCCGCUGUGAAAUCUCGAGGCUCAACUUCGAGCUGUCGGUGGAAACUAUCUGGCUAGAGUCCGGAAGAGGAGAAUGGAAUUCCUGGUGUAGCGGUGAAAUGCGCAGAUAUCAGGAAGAACACCCGUGGCGAAGGCGGUUCUCUGGGACGGUACUGACGCUGAGACGCGAAAGCGUGGGGAGCGAACAGG
rnacentral:rRNA from 1 species